rnacentral:rRNA from 1 species
GAUGAACGCUGGCGGCGUGCCUAAUACAUGCAAGUCGAGCGAACGGACGAGAAGCUUGCUUUUCUGAUGUUAGCGGCGGACGGGUGAGUAACACGUGGAUAACCUACCUAUAAGACUGGGAUGACUUCGGGAAACCGGAGCUAAUACCGGAUAAUAUUUUGAACCGCAUGGUUCAAAAGUGAAAGACGGUCUUGCUGUCACUUAUAGAUGGAUCCGCGCUGCAUUAGCUAGUUGGUAAGGUAACGGCUUACCAAGGCAACGAUGCAUAGCCGACCUGAGAGGGUGAUCGGCCACACUGGAACUGAGACACGGUCCAGACUCCUAAGGGAGGCAGCAGUAGGGAAUCUUCCGCAAUGGGCGAAAGCCUGACGGAGCAACGCCGCGUGAGUGAUGAAGGUCUUCGGAUCGUAAAACUCUGUUAUUAGGGAAGAACAUAUGUGUAAGUAACUGUGCACAUCUUGACGGUACCUAAUCAGAAAGCCACGGCUAACUACGUG